GACGAACGCUGGCGGCGUGCUUAACACAUGCAAGUCGAACGGAAAGGCCCUGCUUUUGUGGGGUGCUCUAGUGGCGAACGGGUGAGUAACACGUGAGUAACCUGCCCUUGACUUUGGGAUAACUUCAGGAAACUGGGGCUAAUACCGGAUAGGAGCUCCUGCUGCAUGGUGGGGGUUGGAAAGUUUCGGCGGUUGGGGAUGGACUCGCGGCUUAUCAGCUUGUUGGUGGGGUAGUGGCUUACCAAGGCUUUGACGGGUAGCCGGCCUGAGAGGGUGACCGGCCACAUUGGGACUGAGAUACGGCCCAGACUCCUACGGGAGGCAGCAGUGGGGAAUAUUGCACAAUGGGCGGAAGCCUGAUGCAGCAACGCCGCGUGCGGGAUGACGGCCUUCGGGUUGUAAACCGCUUUCGCCUGUGACGAAGCGUGAGUGACGGUAAUGGGUAAAGAAGCACCGGCUAACUACGUGCCAGCAGCCGCGGUGAUACGUAGGGUGCGAGCGUUGUCCGGAUUUAUUGGGCGUAAAGGGCUCGUAGGUGGUUGAUCGCGUCGGAAGUGUAAUCUUGGGGCUUAACCCUGAGCGUGCUUUCUAUACGGGUUGACUUGGGGAAGGUAGGGGAGAAUGGAAUUCCUGGUGGAGCGGUGGAAUGCGCAGAUAUCAGGAGGAACACCAGUGGCGAAGGCGGUUCUCUGGGCCUUUCCUGACGCUGAGGAGCGAAAGCGUGGGGAGCGAACAGGCUUAGAUACCCUGGUAGUCCACGCUGUAAACGGUGGGUACUAGGUGUGGGGUCCAUUCCACGGGUUCCGUGCCGUAGCUAACGCUUUAAGUACCCCGCCUGGGGAGUACGGCCGCAAGGCUAAAACUCAAAGGAAUUGACGGGGCCCCGCACAAGCGGCGGAGCAUGCGGAUUAAUUCGAUGCAACGCGUAGAACCUUACCUGGGUUUGACAUGGAUCGGGAGUGCUCAGAGAUGGGUGUGCCUCUUUUGGGGUCGGUUCACAGGUGGUGCAUGGCUGUCGUCAGCUCGUGUCGUGAGAUGUUGGGUUAAGUCCCGCAACGAGCGCAACCCUUGUUCACUGUUGCCAGCACGUUAUGGUGGGGACUCAGUGGAGACCGCCGGGGUCAACUCGGAGGAAGGUGGGGAUGACGUCAAGUCAUCAUGCCCCUUAUGUCCAGGGCUUCACGCAUGCUACAAUGGCUGGUACAGAGAGUGGCGAGCCUGUGAGGGUGAGCGAAUCUCGGAAAGCCGGUCUCAGUUCGGAUUGGGGUCUGCAACUCGACCUCAUGAAGUCGGAGUCGCUAGUAAUCGCAGAUCAGCAACGCUGCGGUGAAUACGUUCCCGGGGCU
rnacentral:rRNA from 1 species